rnacentral:rRNA from 1 species
CAUCUGAUUCGCGGCCUAUCAGCUUGUUGGUGGGGUAGUGGCCUACCAAGGCGACGACGGGUAGCCGGCCUGAGAGGGCGACCGGCCACACUGGGACUGAGACACGGCCCAGACUCCUACGGGAGGCAGCAGUGGGGAAUAUUGCGCAAUGGGCGAAAGCCUGACGCAGCGACGCCGCGUGAGGGAUGACGGCCUUCGGGUUGUAAACCUCUUUCAGCUCCGACGAAGCGAGAGUGACGGUAGGAGCAGAAGAAGCACCGGCCAACUACGUGCCAGCAGCCGCGGUAAUACGUAGGGUGCAAGCGUUGUCCGGAAUUAUUGGGCGUAAAGAGCUCGUAGGCGGUUUGUCGCGUCGACUGUGAAAACUCAGGGGCUCAACUCCGAGCUUGCAGUUGAUACGGGCAGACUAGAGUUCGGCAGGGGAGACUGGAAUUCCUGGUGUAGCGGUGAAAUGCGCAGAUAUCAGGAGGAACACCGGUGGCGAAGGCGGGUCUCUGGGCCGAUACUGACGCUGAGGAGCGAAAGCGUGGGGAGCGAACAGGAUUAGAUACCCUGGUAGUCCACGCCGUAAACGUUGGGCGCUAGGUGUGGGGUCCCCUCCACGGGUUCCGUGCCGCAGCUAACGCAUUAAGCGCCCCGCCUGGGGAGUACGGA